CUGCUGAAUUUUGUAUCAGAUUUAAAUUUAAAUAAUGGUCACAUACAUUUGCACAGAUACAGAUACACACAAUUUCAAUCAGUGAUACAGUAACUAAUACCCACAUCUACACCAACAUGUAGAUUAAUAUGUGUAACUACAUUACUAUAUUUUACUAUGAUACAUUAUGUUGCAUCAUAGCUCAUUAAAUGAUAGCACACAUUUCUCACAUGCAACAGUUGUUUCAUCAAGGCUGCUCUUAACUCUUGGUUCCUUAUACUAUAAAUAAUAGGAUUCAAUAAAGGCGUUACUACAAUGUACAAUAAUGAUAAAAACUUCUUAUUGAUCCAUGUCUUUCCUACAGAUGGAGUUACAUAAAUUGUUACCAG